GAGAAAGGCUUGCAGCAACAANGAUUGCUAAUCCUUGUACCCUCGGUUGAAUUCCGGAGCUUUCUUA
rnacentral:tRNA from 1 species